UUAUAUGUCGUUUUUGUUUUGUUUAACUUAGAUUCCAUGGUAUUUACUCCCUUUAUCUGCCUUGUUUAAUAAUGGAUUAUCGCUUUGCUCAGUAUUUGGAUGGUGUUAUAAGUAUAAUCAAUUGCCUUUUCAUUUAGUUCGGAUAAAGUGGAUGGUGUUGAUACAGAGAGUAGAAUAGUUACGAUGUAGAAUGUGAGAUCCUAGCCCAAUGG